AAGGGUGGCCCGCCCUGGUCUCCCCGCGCCCCGCCGCCCGCCCCGGAGGGGUUUCCGGUGAUGCCCUCUGGUCGCGCCGGUGGCUCCAGCUGGAUUUGGGCAAGUUGGGGCCGGGCCGGAGCGGCGGCCGCCGGGGGUUGUUGGGCCCGGGUUCGUUGGGAGGCGCCUCGGGCCGGAGGGGCCUCGCGGGCCCGGGGCCCCGACGCGCCGACGCGCCGACGCGCCGACGCGCCCGACGCCCCGGGCCACCUGGCCCCGAGCAGAGCAGCCGGAUGUCCUGCGACCCGUCGCCGGGAUGCGGGCGGACAGGAGGCCUGGAGCGUCCGGGGCCGGCUUGGGAGAGCGCCUAGACUUGCGCCCCGCCCGCCCACAGUCCCCGGGGUGCCCGAGGCCUCCCGCGCCCUGGGCGGGCGGCAGGGCAGGGCAGGGCAGGGCAGGGCAGGGCAGGGCAGGGUUUGGCUGGCCGCGGCGGCGGCGGCGGCGGCGGUGGCGGGAGGCAGUGGCAGGCAGGCGGCAGGCGGCGGAGCGCGGGGCGCAGGGGACGCGGGCGUCCGGUGCGCGUCACAGGGGCUCGGGCGCGCGCGUCACAGGGGCCAGGCGACGGCGCGUCACAGGGACCAGGCGACAGCGCGCGCGCGCGCGCGCGCGCGAGGCUUCUUAGGGGCGCCGGCGGCAGCCACCAGCGUCUACGGCCAUACCACCCUGAACGCGCCCGAUCUCGUCUGAUCUCGGAAGCUAAGCAGGGUCGGGCCUGAAGCAGCACAGAGGAAAAGAUUCAGAAACUAAGGAUAAAGAUGCAGGAAGAUCGCGAUGGAGAGGAAUGAAAUUGAGGAGCUCUAAUGGAUGGUAUUUCUCUUCUUAGGAAGGUUUCCAACCUCAGUUGUGGUCAACAGAGAAAGGACGGAUAUACAUAAAAUCUAUUAUCUUCACGAAAGUGAAAGAAUUUUUUCAAGAAAAUUCCAUCUAUCUUUAGGAAAAACUCAAUGAAGCAAACUUUUAAUUUCAGAAAUUUUGAGGACACUUCAUGCUGUUUCUUUAAAGUUAUUAAACCAUCCAAGAUGCAUUUUUAUUUUCUCUGAAACUUGAGCACUGAAGGGUCUGAUUGAUGAGAAUUAAAGCCCAUGCCCUAUGAACCUCUAGAGAGAAAGGUCUUUGUUAUUUUCAGAAGAGGAAAUGACCGACUAAGGUCCAACAGAGAUUUCGUGGUCAUCCUCAGAAAGAGUCUUGGCAUCUGAUUCUUUGAUAUCCUUGUUGACCAAUUGGAUGAGGAGACUGUCCACCGGCCCUGGAAAUUAUGGUGUGGCCGCAGCAUUCUGAGUCUCUGGUUUGUAAUCUGUACUGUGGAGUGGACUGUGAGUGAUGACGGGGCAUCAUGUGGCUAGAAUCUACCUCAGCUGUUCAGUCUCACAGUGGUUAAACAGAAGUCACUCACCAGAUUGUGCCCUGAAAUCACAUGAAGUUGCGGGUGGAGAUUCACCUGAUAGCUGUAGAAACCCCUCUCAGCCCCAGGACCAUGAAGAAUCAGACUCUGGAAAUAUCCUCAUCAUUUUGUCCAUCACCUUCCAUCCCAGGCUGCACACUCCCAUGUAUGUUUUUCUCUUCAACUUGGCUACUAUGGACAUCAUCAGCACCUCCUCCAUCAUGCCCAAAGCAGUGGAAGGUCUGAUAUCAGGAAAGCUCCCUCUCCCAUGGGGGCUACAUGGUCCAGCUUUAUUUCCUCACAUGGACUGAAUCUUCUGAGCUGCUCCUCCUAACAGUCAUGGCCUAUGACUGGUCCGCAGCUAUCUGCCACUAUCUGCAUUACAGCACCAUAAUGAGCAAGACAUUCUGCUGCAUGCUAACAACAGUCAUGACACCCUGCAAAAUAGCUCAAAGAGAGUUGACUGAAGAAAUGGAAACGUCAGUGAUGAAGGAUGCAAGAAACAGGACAGCAGUCCAGUAAUUCACCCUGGAGGGGUUUGCAGCUGUCCAGCAUCAUAGGAAGGUUUUCUUCCUGGUGCAUCUUCUGGAGUACCUGGCCUCCAUCAUGGGAAACAUACUCAUAAUCACCAUCACCUGGGCUGACCAUCACCUCCAGACACCUAUGUACUUCUUCCUCAGCAGUUUCUCCUUUGUUGAAUGCUGCUUAUAACCACUGUUAUUCCUAAGUUGCUGGCUAUCUUUCUGUCAUGGAGGAAAUCAAUUAAAAACAUGGAGAAAUCUAUACCAGGGCACAUACUAAUCAAAUUGCUCAAAACCAGUGAUAAAGAGAAAUCUUCAAAGCAGCCAGAAGAAAAAAAGACACAUUUCAUACAGAGGAACAAAGAUAAAUAUACCAAAGAUUUCUCUUUGAAAAUAACUAAGUGAGAACUCAAUGACACAAUUUUUAAAGGACUGUGAAUAAAAAUUUGCCAACCCAGAAUUCUGUAGUCAUGAAACUAUCUUUCAAAAAUGAAGGCAUACAAAAGAUAAAAGAAUUAAUCACCAGCAAAUCUACAGAAUGAUAGUUGGUAAAGGCAGUCCUCCAAGAGAAAGAAAAUUAUACCAGAUAUAAAUAUGGAUCUAUGCAAAGAAUGAAGAGCACCAGAAAUAGUAACCAUGGGGUAGGUAUAUAGGGUAUUUUUAAAUAAUUUAAAUUUCUUUGAAAGAUCAUUGACUCUGUCAACAAAAAUAGUAACAAUGCACUGUGGGGUUUAUAACAUAUGUAUAAGGAAAAUGUAUGAAAAGAAUAGCAUAAAGUCUGAGGGAGUAGAAAUGGAAGUAUGUUAUUACAAGUUGCUUAUAUGAUAUGUGAAGUGGUAAAAUAUCACUUGAAGGUAGACAAUGAUAAUUUAAAGAUGUAUACUAUAAAUCCAAGGCAACCACUGAAAUAAAAAUCAGAGUUGUAGCUAAGGAGCCAACAAAGGAGAUAAAAUGGAAUCAUCACAAUGGGGCAGCAGGAAACUUUUGGGCUGGUGAAUAUUUUCAUUAUAAUCAUUGUGGUGGUGAUUUUACAAAUGUUUAAAUGUGUCAAAACUUAUCAAAUUGUACUCUUGAAAUAUGUCCAUUUUAUUUUGUAUCAAUGAUACCUCAAUAAAGCUGUUUCAAAGACAAUAAAGCAGAUUGCAAUGGAAUAUUAAAAAUGCUUCAUUAAUUCAAAAAAAGAAAGGAGAAAAUAAGGAAUAUAUAAUGGUGGGGACAAAUAGAAGGAAACAUCAAAAUUGUAGAGUUAAAUCUAACUUUACAAUAAUGAGAUUAAA
ensembl:lncRNA